rnacentral:misc_RNA from 1 species
UAACCGUAGGUGAACCUGCGGUUGGAUCAUUACUAAAUGAUAGCCAGUUCUCUUGCGCAAGCGAGAUUGAGCAGGCAUUAACCCUUUGUGAACUGUUGCUGUACUUGGGUACAAGAGUCUCUCGAGACGACGGUACCCGCCUUAUAAACCCCAUAUAUGUUUAACUGAAUGUGAUCUAAGAGAAAUAACUUUUGACAAUGGAUCUCUUGGCUCUCGCAUCGAUGAAGAACGCAGC